CUACCAAACACGCCUCCACGCGCCUCUCGGCUCCCGCCCUCCGCCGCCGCCGCUCGCCACCUUCGGCGUGGAACUUCGCCUGUCCCCUCCGGCGUGGAACUCCGGCCCUCUCCACUGCCGCGUUCCUCUGCCUCUCCCGCCGGUGCCUGGGACAAGGCAAACUGGAUGAGCAAAAAAUCAAUGGUCGACCAAAGGAGGUAAAGAAUCAAGAUCAACAAAAAGCACCAAUAAUGAAAAUUGGCAUGUCUUCCAUUUACCUUACGGCACGUUGGAGGGCUCCAGAUUCGGACGCGUGCUACAUCUGUGGACAGGACGGUCACUAUGAGCAGUUUUGCCAAUACAAUUAUAUCUAUGGGCAAUAUGGGUUAUAUGGCCAACACACUUGUAGAGCAAACUGCCAUCCUGGACAACACACAAUGGCCAUGGCUUGUCGGAACUCUUUGCAGAGUCUCAUACGUGUGAAUAACAUGCCAUCGCGCUUCUGUACGUGGGACCUUCGGAAGCUUUUGGAACCAUUCGGACCAUUGCUGAUGUGCCACGUUCCAAUGGGCAGUUCUGAAGUGCGCAGGGGAUAUGGGGUUGUGAUCUUCAAGGAUCUUGGGAAUGGGAUGUUAGAGUUGUGUCGAAUAAUGUGUACAAGGUAGGUUAUAGUUGGAUUAUGAGUUGUAUUGUGUUUACAUAGGAUGUGGAGUUGUGUCCUAAUAGGA